GACGAACGCUGGCGGCGUGCCUAAUACAUGCAAGUAGGACGCAGUUGCGAACGCGGGAGUGACGCGUAGGUAACUGCCUCUUAGAGGGGGGUAACUAUUGGAAACGAUAGCUAAUACCGCAUACUCGUAGAUGGAUCUGCGUUGUAUUUGUUAGUUGGUAGGGUAAUGGCCUACCUAGGCAAAGAUGCAUAGCCGACCCUGGAAGGUGGUCGGCCACACUGGGACUGGGACAAGGCCCAGACUCCUACGGGGGGCAGCAGUAGGGGAUCUUCGGGAAUGGGGGGAAAGCUGACCGAGCAACGGCGCGUGAGUGAAGAAGGUUUUCGGAUCGGUAAGCUCUGUUGUUAAGGGAGCGGUACUUAACCAGAAAGGGACGGCUAACUACGUGCCAGCAGCCGCGGUAAUUC
rnacentral:rRNA from 1 species